UAUCUCUCUGUACGGGAAGGAUGAGAAGCUUCGACUAAGGUUCGAUUCGAGCGCAGCGAGAAAGCGUUGCCGCAGGCAACGACCCGAAGGGCGAAGCGCGCAGCGCUGAGUAAUCCUUCCCCCACCACCA
rnacentral:sRNA from 3 species